UCCGGCUUAUCACCGGCAGUCCCACUAGAGUGCCCAACUAAAUGAUGGCAACUAAUGACAAGGGUUGCGCUCGUUGCGGGACUUAACCCAACAUCUCACGACACGAGCUGACGACAGCCAUGCAGCACCUGUGUUGCGGUUCCCUUUCGGGCACUCCUGCAUCUCUGCAGGAUUCCGACCAUGUCAAGGGUAGGUAAGGUUUUUCGCGUUGCAUCGAAUUAAUCCACAUCAUCCACCGCUUGUGCGGGUCCCCGUCAAUUCCUUUGAGUUUUAAUCUUGCGACCGUACUCCCCAGGCGGACGACUUCGCGCGUUAGCUGCGUUACUAAAGGAUUUAACUCCUCCAACAACUAGUCGUCAUCGUUUAGGGCGUGGACUAC
rnacentral:misc_RNA from 1 species